UUGGCUAAAAUGUACGCGCAGUGAGAGGAGCCUCUCUCAGACAUUUUGUUUAGUUUUUAUUUUUUUCUGCAGGGAAGCUCAAUCAUGGUCUCCCCAUGCUUGUUAGCUACAAGCUGUUGAAGCCAAGCCAAGACUUGACCGAUAAUGUGACUUUCAUUUUGUGUGCUCUCUCAGCUUCAAGCUUAUUUACUUGUGCUUGAUGACAUCAUGGACAACUCUGUCACACGUCGUGGUCAGCCUUGUUCCUUCAGACAGCCAAAGUUGGUGCCAAAAGAGUUCCAAAAGGCAUUUUAGAAUGGAAUUUCAAGUUUCUGGUUUAGUUACUGAUAGUGUUUCAAAUGAGGAUUCUCUCAACCUGAUUGUAUCAUAACAAAAAUCUUUAUUUGUCCAGGUUCUAGGACCCAACAUUUGAGAAUUCUCUCAACCUGAUUGCUCGUUGUUCCUGUUGUAGCUGUGUAUGUAUAUCGUUGAGGAUUAUGUACAAGAAUGGUGAUUCCAUCCCCUCAGAUACAUCUUUGGAUUAUGGUGCAAAUUUUUUCACACAUGUUGGGAUUUGAUGAUGAAAAGAUGAAAGCGCUCAUGAGGCUUUACAUCACUAUCCACAGGAAAUUUUUCUUUGGAUCAAAUCAGUUGUCGAGGAAUGUGAAGAAAACAUAUCGAAGGAGCAGUUGAAAGAAUAUGUUUGGAAGGUUGUUUUCAGGAUAUGGACACGGUGUUGUGCGCAAAACUGAUCCAAGAUAUGUAUGGCAAAGAGAGUUUGCCUUGAAGCAUUUACCUGAUGACCUUCUUCUUUUCCAGCUGGUGUCAAAGCUUGUUAUAGGUGAAGAACCCGUGGCCAAAUGUUGAUGCUCACAGUGGGGUCUUGCUGAAUCACUAAGGUCUAACCGAAGCAAGGUAAGCAAGGCAUCUGCUCUCAGUCUCAGCUUAUAUGCUUAUAUCGAACCGAGCUCUUGGGGACUUGCACUAGAGAGGCCAAAGAGUGGUAAUAUGGUGACUGGCUUGAGUCUUGACUGUAAGAAAGCUUCAUCUGCUUAAGAAACAAUCGCUUGGUGCAAUUCGGAA